AGCGGGAGAGCACUCCCCGCCACCGGCCGAACCUCCCUCACCCCCGGCGGCCGCGAGCGGCUUACGUACGAGGGCUCGGAAGUGGCACCGGGCCAGGGCACGGGCCCCCAUGGGACGGCUUGCUUGGUUUGGGAUAGGCUCCGUAAGCCCUGAUAGAUGGGGACCUGGGCACUCGACCUGACGUGUGGCAACGAACACGGACCCUCCACAGAAACAGACCGACAGCACAGCAGCGGGCCGUGCCUGGCUGCGGGAAUGGGGGCACCGCCACUUCCCCCUGCUUCAGUGGUUACCUUCCAACCCCUCAGCUCCGAGGCGUUCAUUUAAUGCUGAUACUGAAAAAGCCGAGUUGCAUUUCAUCCUAACUAUUGCCCAAGCGGACCACUGUGGACGGUCAAGGGAGAUGAAGCUUUCCUGGAACACUGCUGGAACCCUUAUUUUGUAAUACAGAAUGGCUGGAACAUGCCGAAUCUGGACUUACUCUGCUUUAUCUGCGGGCAGUACGAGAAACAGUGAAUCAAAGCUAACCACUACAUUCUGCAAGUAGGCUGUUCACUUUGAAGCUUACAACACAUUAUUGAAAUGUGAUUAAUUCCUUUGCUGAUUAAUACUUAGAAGAAGCCUUCACCUAAAAUUCUCAUUCCUCGUAACAGACUGUGAAAGUCAAAAGAGGCCUUUGCCUAAUUAUUUUUUCUCUCCCUGCAGAUUAUCUGUCUGCCUCAGAAGAGGUCUGUGAAAAGGACAGAACAUGUGCUUCAGAGUGAAGGCUGAAAAUAAUACAUUUUCUUUUCAUGUACUUCCCAGCUACAAGAAAACUCAAGACAGACCAAAAUGCUGGAAUGUGAACUGGGAGGCAAUCAGAAAGAGUGAUACACCCAAGACAACAUGGGAGACAUCGUUUCUAGGCCUUUUGUGGACUCCCAACAAUAAAUCCAAAUCUGCAGAAGGCAAUAAACUGGCAAAAGAAGUCUUACUCCAAA